UUCGCUAGUACGUCAUCUGCGGGCGCCCGCCCUGACGAAGGUUGAGAGUAGACCUCAGGGGCGGCGGCGGCGGCAGCUAAAUCGAGGCGGUAGUAGCGGUGACGGCGACGGCAGCAGCAAUGGCCGGGGCAGGGCCAGCCCCGGGACUCCCGGGUGCAGGAGUACCCGUGAUCCCAGGCCCUGGUGCCGGCAUCCCGGGCAAGAGCGGCGAGGAACGCUUGAAGGAAAUGGAGGCGGAGAUGGCCCUGUUUGAGCAGGAAGUUCUGGGGGCUCCAGUAACCGGAAUCCCCACUGCUAUGCCCGCGGUCCCCACAGUGGAUACGAUGCAGGUCCCAGCAGCUCCUGUGAUCCGCCCAAUUAUUGCGACCAACACAUACCAACAGGUCCAACAGACUCUGGAGGCCCGGGCAGCCGCUGCAGCCACAGUAGUUCCUCCCAUGGUGGGUCCUCCUUUUGUGGGCCCAGUUGGCUUUGCCCCUGGUGAUCGAAGUCACCUGGACAGUCCAGAGGCUCGAGAAGCCUUGUUCCUGCGCCGAGCAGCUGUGGCCCCUCAGAGGGCCGCUGUCCUGCGUCCAGCCUUCGUCCCUCACGUGCUACAGAGAGCAGAUUCUCUUCUCUCAUCUGCAGCAGGCACUCCCCGCCCGAUGGCCCUGCGCCCCCCGCACCAGGCUCUUGUGGGACCCCCGCUUCCUGGGCCCCCUGGACCACCCAUGAUGCUGCCACCAAUGGCUCGGGCCCCGGGUCCCCCCCUGAGCUCCAUGGCUGCUCUGAGGCCUGCCCUGGAAGAACCAGCAGCACCCCGAGAGCUGGGCCUAGGCCUGGGGUUGGGCCUGAAAGAGAAGGAAGAGGCAGUGGUGGCAGCGGCAGCUGGGCUGGAGGAAGCUAGUGCUGCAGUGGCUGUGGGAGCAGGAGGUGCUCCCACGGGCCCUGCAGUCAUUGGGCCCAGCCUGCCACUGGCCCUGGCCAUGCCAUUACCUGAGCCCGAGCCCCUGCCCCUACCACUGGAGGUAGUACGUGGCCUGCUGCCCCCACUGCGCAUUCCUGAGCUCCUAUCCCUUCGUCCACGACCCCGGCCCCCUCGGCCUGAGCCCCCCCCCGGCCUCAUGGCUCUCGAGGUGCCAGAGCCCAUGGGUGAAGACAAGAAGAAAGGGAAGCCGGAAAAAUUGAAACGCUGCAUUCGCACAGCAGCCGGAAGCAGCUGGGAGGAUCCUAGCCUGUUGGAGUGGGAUGCCGUAUCCAGGCCAAACUGCACGUUGCUGACUGCCUAUAUUCCAGCACUUGGGCGGCUGAGGCAGAAGGAUCACCACGAGUUGCAGGCCAACCUGGAAUACACAAUGACUUCCGCAUCUUCUGUGGAGAUCUGGGCAAUGAGGUGAAUGACGACAUCUUGGCACGUGCCUUCAGCCGCUUCCCAUCCUUCCUUAAGGCUAAGGUGAUCCGAGACAAACGCACAGGCAAGACCAAGGGCUAUGGCUUUGUCAGUUUCAAGGACCCCAGUGACUAUGUGCGUGCCAUGCGUGAGAUGAAUGGGAAAUAUGUGGGCUCACGCCCCAUCAAGCUCCGUAAGAGCAUGUGGAAGGACCGGAACCUGGACGUGGUUCGAAAGAAGCAGAAGGAAAAGAAGAAGUUGGGCCUGAGAUAGGGUCUGUGGCUGGGCACCCGCUCUCACCCGGCCGGGCGCUGGCUUCUCCCCACAGCUGUCUUUGGAAAACACCAACUGUUCACCCACCCAACCCCAAACCAGUUUCAAUAAAUUUACAUUCAUUUCCA